UACGUAGGGCGCAAGCGUUGUCCGGAAUUAUUGGGCGUAAAGAGCUUGUAGGCGGUUUGUCGCGUCUGCUGUGAAAACCUAAGGCUCAACCUUGGGCUUGCAGUGGGUACGGGCAGACUAGAGUGCGGUAGGGGUGACUGGAAUUCCUGGUGUAGCGGUGGAAUGCGCAGAUAUCAGGAGGAACACCGAUGGCGAAGGCAGGUCACUGGGCCGCAACUGACGCUGAGGAGCGAAAGCGUGGGGAGCAAACAGG
rnacentral:rRNA from 1 species